rnacentral:tRNA from 1 species
GCGAGAAUAGCUCAGUUAGUAGAGCACGACCUUGCCAAGGUCGGGAUCGCGAGUUCGAGUCUUGUUUCCCGCUCCA